AUGCACAGAGACAGUCCCACUCUCUCGGCGUUGGAAGCCUGGGUCCAGUGGCACGAAAAGUCAUUACACCUGGAGACUUCCUCAGCUGCAUUGGAUGGCCAUGUUGCCUUUUGUUCUCCAACAGGCCCUAAGCACUCCACAGUGCUUUGCUGCAUCGCCCUCUCAGCUGUUGAACCUUCUUGUUGGCUUCUUCCGCCUGUUCCGCCGAAGCAGUCUUCACAAGCUGGCUCUAAAAGUGGUGGAUGUGGGAACUGUGAAAUGCUUAGAACUUGACUAGAUCCAGAGGAUCCAAAGUCAUCCAUUGCAUCCUAUGCAUCAACAGUUGCCUUGACUUUUGUCUUGCCAUUGGACUUCUAUGACUCUGGAAGAGUGAGUGAGGUUGAUGACUUCAAACAACUCAGCCUCACUUAAAUCCAGUUUAUUCAUGAGUAAAAAGUCAUUACCAAUGAUGUCAUUUUGGUUCUGUUCAAGUAUGAAGGAAAACAAGGAACUUAAAUGUUUAAUUAUUUACUAUUGUGCCAUUGUUGUAAAAUAUUACACUAAAAUUGUAUAAACACAAAUAUAUAAAAUAUAUAUGAACAUAUGUAUACACGAUGUAGAAUAUGUAAUACAUAAACAUAAUAUAAAAUAUGUAAAAUUGUAUAUGAUGUAAUAAUAACUAAUCCAUCAUCUAUAAUAUAUAUAAACAAAAUAUAUAUAGUUUUAACUGGUUAUAUAUAUUUGUAUAUAUAAUAAUAUAAUUAUGUAAACACAAAUAUAUAUAAUACCAAAAUUUUGUAAGUACAAAUGUAUAUAUAUAUAUGCAAAUAUAUAUAUAUAUUUCCUGUGAAAAAUCCAUCUUUUCUAUAAGUCAUUGGAUAAUGAAUUAUAUUUAGCUGAGAGUACCAGUUAAAAUAGUGAAAUAAAGCUUUGGGUUAUAGUCA
rnacentral:lncRNA from 1 species